GAACUUUGAAACUACCCCACACAAUACAAUGACAAAUGUUUAAGGAGAAGAAAUGCUAAGUACCCUGAUUUUAUCAUUAUACAUUGUAUAUAUAUGUAUCAAAUUAUCACAUGGUACUCAUAAAUAUGCACAAUUAUUAUGUGUCAAUUGUUUAAAAAUCAAAAGAAGGAGAGGGAGAAGAAGAGGAGAAUGGGGAGAUGGAGGAGGGAGAGGAAGAGGUGGAGGAGGAAGGAGAGAAGGAGGAAGAAGAGAGAAGGAGGUGGAGAAGAAGAGAAGGCAGAGGAGACGGAGAAGGAGAAGAGAAGGAGGUGGAGGAGGAGAGAAGCAAGAAGACGAGGAGGGGGGAGAAGAAGAGGAGGAUAUGGAAGAGAAGCUGCAGCAGGAGGAGAGGUGAAAGAAGAGGAGGAGGACAUGUAGGAAGAGAAGGAGGAGGAGGAAGGGAGACUCUGGCUGACAGGCUCUUGCUCUCUUGCCAUGGGUGCCUUCCACCAUGUUAUGAGGCAGAAAGGCCCACCAACAGCAGCCCGUUAAUCCCUAGGUUCCAGAAGUAUUAGCUGAAUAGAUUUGUAUUUUAUGUAAAUUUUUUUUUUAGAAAAGAUAAAGUUGGAUGCUGAACACCAUCCCACAACUGGACGUGACCCCAACAGCAGGUUCCCUGUUGGUUCUCUGCCUGUUCCCACCACCUUGCUCCCUCCUGCCCUUGCCCUUGCCCUCUACCAUCAAUGCCAGUUUCUCUGCUUCCUCCCCAUAGCUGUUACAUCUCACCCAGAGUUUCUUUUGUAUUCCUAAAAUUCACUCUGUGUGGGGCAUGGCCUUGGGGAGGCCAUGUCUGAGGCCUUGACUCUCUGUCUUUCUCAGGGAAUCGACAUUACUGAUACUUAAGAGUCCCACCUUUUUAUGGCCAAGUUUUGUGUGUAGUAUGACACUAUUUCUGAGUCAUGGUACAUUUUAACCCUACGUAACACCGCCUCAAAAAGAUUUUAGUUUGCCUUCCAUUUUGACUUUCUCUUACAUUCCACAGGAAACCUCUUGUGUAGACUGACAAGAUUAUCAGGAAAAGUACUUUAAAGAAUAUCUUAAUAGCAGAUCUACUGUCUUCUAAUUAAAUUUGUAGAGCUGCCAACCUCCUUUAUUAGACAACCUGUAACUGCUGCUCAAGUCUUGUGAGACUAGUCCAGGGCACUUUCUACUCCCCCAUACUGCCUGAUCUCCCAGGUUAAUUCUUUCCUAGAUUCAUUUACUGGUUGUAGUUUCACAUACUUGUCAAUAGUGAGGAAAGCAACCUAACUCUGCUAAGUUUCUGUUUCACUCAGGAAACCUGAUUUUAUAUACACCCGGGGAAAACCCAGAGUUAGGGCCUGGACUCUGGGGGUCAGGACUGUGGUUGGGUAGUAUUACGGUUUGGAUCUGGGAUAUUCACCAAAAACUCACAUGUUGAAAACAUGAUCCCCAGUGCACCCAGGUUCAGGGGUGGGGCUUCAGGCAAUGAUUGGAUCAUGAGGCCUCUGACCUCAUUAGUGGAUUAAUCCAUCAAAUUGAUAGCUGGAUGGAGUAUUGAGAGGUGGGAUCUAGUGGGAGAAAAUAGGUCACUGGGAGUGUGCCCUAGAAGGUUUUAUCUUCUCCCUCAGCCCCUUCUUCUCUCUCUGUUUCCCAGCUGCCAUGAGCUACCCAGCUUUUCUCUUCCAUACCCUUCUGCCAUGAUGUUCUGCCUCAUCUCAGGUCUGGGGCAAUGGAGCCAGCCAGCCAUGGACUGAAUCCUCUGAAACCAAGAGCCAAAAUAAAUUGUCCUCCUCUAAGUUGUUCUUAGGUAUUUUGGUCACCGUGACGAAAAGCUAACUGUCACAGGGAGUUGUAAGGGUUGCGUGGAAGGCUUGGGGGCAGUUCUCUAGAAAGCAAGCUGCUUUGAGAGAGUCUGGGGCAGAAGAUCCUCUUUUUAAAAGGGCCCUUCCAAAGGGCGGGCCUAUGGGAAGAAAAAAAUAAUAAGAGAGCUUAUGCUGGUUUUCUUCAGACUCUUUCCAAGGCUAAAGUCAGCCAUGACAGAGAGAGUCCAGAGAGGCAGAGGCAGUGGGUGAAGGAGGGAAGUCAGAUCAAACAGGAAGAAAAGAGGAAAGGGAAGACGUAGAAGCUUGUGACAGAUAAAAUACCCUGAGGGACAGGUGGCUAGGGAAGUAGUGGAAAUGCAAACAAAAUGGUCACAUAUCUUAUUUUGAAAAAAAAUCUCUUAAAUAUAAUAUGCGGUAACUUGUCUAUGGUUUGAGUGUGUCCUUCCACAUGCUGGAAGCUUAGUCCCUAAUAUGGCAAUGUUGAGGUAGUAUGGAACCUUUAAGAGAUGGCACCUAAUACUAGAUGAUUAGUGCACUGGCCACAUGCCCUCAGGAGGAUUUAACACGUUCUUCUGGGAGCCUCCUUAGUUCCUGCCCUAUGGUUUGUUAUAAGAGAGCAAUUGUGACCCCACCCCACUCCCCGGCUUCCUAUCUUGCCUUGGGAUCCCUCUCACAAGCGCUCCUGCCAGGAUGCCAUUCACCAUGCAGUCUUCACCAAAGCCCAGCUGAUGCUAGUACCAUGAUCUUGAACCUCUAAACUGGGAGCUAAAUGGUCCUCUUUUAAAAAAAAAAAAAGUAACUAGUCUCAGGAAUUUUGUGAUAGCCAUGAAAACAGACUAAUACAUAAUACUACUAGAUUUGAAAGUGAUUCCUGAAUGGAAAAAAAAAAGACUUCUGCUUUUCCAUUUUGUUGUUCUUGUUAUCAUUGUUUGGGUACAAUCUCAAAGAAUCUGGGGUGUCUACACUGGACACAUUCCCCAUUCAUCUACGUGGGCUACAUAGAGAUCAUAUGGAAGAUCACUCCCUGCUACCCCAGGUAAGAAGUUAAGUGUUCAGAAUCUUGUGCUGUGAUUAUAGGGGCCAUACCCUCACUUCUGUAUUUGUGAAUAAAAGGCAGAAGAUACAACAAAACUAAGUUUGUGCAGGCUGAGCCUCCAGGAUCAUUCACCUAGUAAAAGACUGAGCCAACAAUCCAGCAUCUGAUCCUUCCUUUCACACCUGCCCAUCAGCUCAGCUUGUGGGCACCUGGAUUGACAAAGAACACGUGGUGGUGUGCAGCUAGAGGUGUACACAUAAAGCUGGCCCAGUCUUCCUUUAAUGACACACAUUCUUGGUUUCAAAAUACUUCUGUGUAUUCAAUGCACAAGGAAGUGUAUUUUAGGUUUUAAGCAAUGAUGCUGCACCACCCCCUGCUUUAAUCCUCUCUGAUGAGACCUCGAAUCCCACAGCAGUAGCUCAUGUAGCCAGGUAAGCCACAGCCACAAAUUGAUGGAGCUCUUGUUACAUACUAUUUCCUCAUCACCUCUUCAAAUUUAAGGUUUAAAAUAAACAUAGGGGGAAGCUGGAGUGGAGAUUCUGGAGAAAAAUACGAUCAUAGACAAAUGACUAGCGCCAGCUGAUUUUCAGAUAGUUCCACUGCAAAGACAAGGAAUAGAAAUGGGCCUGGCAGUGCCAGGCUGAUCUCUCAGAAAUUUCUAGAAUAAGCAUUAGUGUCAAUGUAAGUAGAAAAUACAAUGUAGCCAGACAGUUCACUGGAAAAGUUGUAAAUCAUCUAAGCAGUAUAAUAAGAAGAAUGCAUUAUUACAACAUUCACACUCACGAAAUUUGACAAAGUCAAACACUAUUCAACCAGCUAUUCAAAAACAAAAAAAAAACCAUAGUAUCAUUUUCUGUGUUGUGUUUUGUUUUGUGGUAAUCAACUAGUGGUUUCUUAGGAAUUCAUUAAAUAUCCUGCUCAUUACAGUUUUCAGUCCAUGAAUAGUGUUUCUGCUAGAUCAAUUCUAAAAGCCAGUAAUGAUUUAAUUCUGAAUCAUGUAGAAAGAAAAUAUGAGAAAAAAAUCACAUUUCUUUCAGUUCUGUAGCAAUUACAGCAGGUAAAUUUUAAAUGUUUAAAAAGUAAAAGGGUUAUGAACUCCCAUUUUUACCCCGUAUACAGAUUGCAGCAUCACAUCAGUUACACAUCCACUGUUUUACAUAUUGCUAUACUAGUGUCUGUUGUAUUCUGAAUCAAAGUGUGAAAUAUGAUAUGUCAAGAACUAUGUAAUGUUUUGAACAACCAACAAUAAAAAUUAAAGAAAAAAAUUAAAAAAUAAAAAUAAAAAGUAAAAGGGGCAAAGUUAUGGCUACUUCAUCAG
rnacentral:lncRNA from 1 species